UAGGGAAUCUUCGGCAAUGGGGGCAACCCUGACCGAGCAACGCCGCGUGAGUGAAGAAGGUUUUCGGAUCGUAAAGCUCUGUUGUAAGAGAAGAACGUGUGUGAGAGUGGAAAGUUCACACAGUGACGGUAACUUACCAGAAAGGGACGGCUAACUACGUGCCAGCAGCCGCGGUAAUACGUAGGUCCCGAGCGUUGUCCGGAUUUAUUGGGCGUAAAGCGAGCGCAGGCGGUUUAAUAAGUCUGAAGUUAAAGGCAGUGGCUUAACCAUUGUUCGCUUUGGAAACUGUUAAACUUGAGAGCAGAAGGGGAGAGUGGAAUUCCAUGUGUAGCGGUGAAAUGCGUAGAUAUAUGGAGGAACACCGGUGGCGAAAGCGGCUCUCUGGUCUGUAACUGACGCUGAGGCUCGAAAGCGUGGGGAGCAAACAGG
rnacentral:rRNA from 1 species